rnacentral:rRNA from 1 species
UACAGAGGUCUCAAGCGUUGUUCGGAUUCAUUGGGCGUAAAGGGUGCGUAGGCGGCGCGGUAAGUCGGGUGUGAAAUUUCGAGGCUUAACUUCGAAACUGCAUUUGAUACUGGCGUGCUUGAGGACUGGAGAGGAGACUGGAAUUCAUGGUGUAGCAGUGAAAUGCGUAGAGAUCAUGAGGAAGACCAGUGGCGAAGGCGGGUCUCUGGACAGUUCCUGACACUGAGGCACGAAGGCCAGGGGAGCAAACGGG